UUCUCUUUUAUCGCUCGCUUUAAAUAAAAUUUGUGGACACGUUAGAGCAAACACCCUGUAUAAGCCAAAGGUCUUUGGCUACCCUGUAGUACACGUGUGUUGCUUAAAGGGAUAGUCGCAUCCGGAAGCGUGUUCCGGAACUAUUAUGGUCAUGUUCCCUGUCGUUCAUAAUGUACGCCGGCAAAUUUUCUCCGCACAAAUCCACUUGGUUGACUCAGAAACGAUUUUUAAAUGUUCGCGCUUCCGGCGCGCACGGCAAUCCCCGCAAGGCGCCGACACUGGAUGACGUCACCCGGAUAAACCAACCAUCAGGAGGCGCUCCUUCCCGCCGCAGAUUCUGUGUGUGUCUGUGCGUGCGGCUGCCCCUUUUUCUUGUUGUCUUGUCGCGUUUGCUUUGAAGUACUUUGAACCAUAGCGUGUGGCCUAGGAUUUCACGCCGUUGACGUGCGAUGUCACAGCCAGGAAACCGGUGCUACGUGCUCAGGUGCAGAAAGACUUAUAACGCGAAGCGAGCUUACAUUUCAACGACCUCGCAAUGGCGAAACGAAACGAAAGUGGGUGGCAGCGAUCGCCAGCCACUACUGUGGUGUGGCCCAAGGAUUGAAUGUUUCACGCGUCUGUUCCUGUCAUUUCGCCGACGACGCCUAUUUUGAUGAAGAUGUAUUGCAAGUUCGGCUUGGGCUACGGCAGAAACAGAAGCGGCUGAAGAUUGACGCCGUGCCUACCACCCCUACCACAUUCGAUCAGGAACAAGGGCAGGAACCAGUAACGGAGGCGGCAGCAAGCACGUCAACGGAAUCAACUGGAUUUGAUGCGGAGGUCAUGGCAGAAGCAAGUGCUGGGGACCCACUUCACGGCGCAUCUCACAAGGGGGUUGUCAUCCCCUGAUUCCAGGAAGAGGAAAACAAUGGACACAGACUUGCAUAGCGUAUUAGUACACCAGAUAUGGAUCUGCCAACAUGAACCCUCCUAACAUCCCUGUGGCAGCGUACCUGUAACCGCCCAGACUUCACACCACAUUAAUGUAGAACCACGGCACAACAUAAUAAAAUAGCUUAGGUUUAUUUGCCUCCCAUACAUAAUGGGAGGCAAAUAAACCUAUGCUAUUUCGUUAUUCCCACUCCGUCAUACUCCACUGUACAAUAAAUCGAUACAAUUAUA